rnacentral:rRNA from 1 species
UACGAAGGGAGCUAGCGUUGUUCGGAAUCACUGGGCGUAAAGCGCACGUAGGCGGAUGUGUCAGUCAGGGGUGAAAUCCCGGAGCUCAACUUCGGAACUGCCUUUGAUACAGCACGUCUUGAGUCCGAUAGAGGUGGGUGGAAUUCCUAGUGUAGAGGUGGAAUUCGUAGAUAUUAGGAAGAACACCGGUGGCGAAGGCGGCCCACUGGAUCGGUACUGACGCUGAGGUGCGAAAGCGUGGGGAGCAAACAGG